GGAUGUAAUUUCCCAAACUGGGAUUAGAUACCCCACUAUGCCUAGCCCUAAACCCAAAUAGUUACAUAACAAAACUAUUCGCCAGAGUACUACUCGCAACUGCCUAAAACUCAAAGGACUUGGCGGUGCUUCACAUCCACCUAGAGGAGCCUGUUCUAUAAUCGAUAAACCCCGAUAGACCUACCA
rnacentral:rRNA from 1 species